GAUGAAGAACGCAGCGAAAUGCGAUAAGUAAUGUGAAUUGCAGAAUUCAGUGAAUCAUCGAAUCUUUGAACGCACAUUGCGCCCUCUGGCAUUCCGGGGGGCAUGCCUGUCCGAGCGUCAUUACAACCCUCAAGCUCAGCUUGGUGUUGGGCCCCGCCGCCCCGGCGGGCCCUAAAGUCAGUGGCGGUGCCGUCCGGCUCCGAGCGUAGUAAUUCUUCUCGCUCUGGAGGUCCGGUCGUGUGCUCGCCAGCAACCCCCAAUUUUUUUCAGGUUGACCUCGGAUCAGGUAGGGAUACCCGCUGAACUUAAGCAUAUCAAUAAGCGGAGGA
rnacentral:misc_RNA from 1 species